rnacentral:misc_RNA from 1 species
AGUCGUAACAAGGUUUCCGUAGGUGAACCUGCGGAAGGAUCAUUAAAGUGUUUCCGCUGCGGCAUGGGACUUUGGUUCUGUGCCGCGCGAAACUCCACCCUUGACUAUUGUACCACUUGUUGCUUUGGCGGGCCCGUCGCAAGGCCGCCGGGAGCUCAGGCUUCUGGCCCGCGCCCGCCAGAGACAAAUAUUGAACUCUUUUGUGAAAUUGGCUGUCUGAGUUUAUGAUAAAUCAUUAAAACUUUCAACAAUGGAUCUCUUGGUUCCGGCAUCGAUGAAGAACGCAGCGAAAUGCGAUAAGUAAUGUGAAUUGCAGAAUUCCGUGAAUCAUCGAAUCUUUGAACGCACAUUGCGCCCUCUGGUAUUCCGGAGGGCAUGCCUGUCCGAGCGUCAUUGCAACCUUCAAGCACGGCUUGUGUGUUGGGUCUCGUCCCCCGUGGACGGGCCCGAAAGGCAGUGGCGGCGCCCGAUCCGGUGCCCGAGCGUAUGGGAAUCUUCUCCGCUCUCAGAGGCCCGAUCGACGCCUGUCGAACCAAAUUUUUUUACCGGUUGACCUCGGAUCAGGUAGGGAUACCCGCUGAACUUAAGCAUAUCAAUAA